rnacentral:lncRNA from 13 species
AUGAUCACAUCUUUUUUCUUUUCUCUCUGUAUAGGUAGGGCUUUGGAAUCCGAUCCUUCUGAUCAUCGAGAAGCAAAGAAAUCUCAAGCAGUUGAUAGGGCUUUGGAAUCCAACCCUUCUGAUCAUCCAGAAUCAAUGAAAUAUCCAGCAGAUGAUGGGGCUUUGGAGUUUGACCCUUCUGAUCAUCCAGAAACAAAGAAAUCUGAAGCAGUUGAUAGGGCUUUGGAGUCCAACCCUUCUGAAACAAGGAAAUCCCAAACAGCACAAGAAAUAGGAGAAAACAGCCGUAGAAACCAUGUAAGUAAACAGUCAAAAAGUUGAGGAAUUGAUAGUUUGAUACAAAAGUAUGUCUCUUGAUUACUUUUUAUUCUAAUGGGGACCCAGUGGUGGUAGAGUGGACCUCGUUUCAUGGAUUUUCUGAAUCUCUUCUACUUUCCUAUUAAAUUUAUUUCAAAAAGUCUUCAGCUUAGUGUGCCCACCUUUUAAGGAUUUCUGACACUUAAGUUAAAUUUCAAUAGUUGGUUGUGGUAUAAAGACCUGCUUUAAAUACUUAAUCUUAUUUUUAAUGAAACAACAAAAAUAGAAGAGCUAAGUUCAUUGUCAGUAUGGUCUAUUGACCCUCUGUCACAGCAGGUGAAAGCUUAUCUCUCUUGCUAACCAUGACCUUAUUUUUCUCCCUCUGUUUCUUUCAAUUGUAGCACACUUUUUAAUUCAAUCAGUAAUUUUGACAAUUAUGACUAUCCACAUAUUCACUGCUCAGUUAUAUGUUGUUUUCACUGUGUCUCUUUAUUACAUAUUUCUUCAUCCUUUCUCUGAAACAGUUCUGAAACCUGAGCACUUCUGCACUUUUUCUGGAUCAUCUUUUUUUCCUGGCCUAUGCUGGUUUAUCCAGCCAAAUGCAAUACGUAGCCUCUGGAUGGUCUGUGACUUUAUUGAAAAAUAAUAAUUAUUGUUAAAUUAUAUUUUACAUGUAAUUUACAUUUUACAUUAUUUUUUAGCAUGAAGCUGAUUUCCUGACUAUAUUCAUUUGCCUGUUUUUUAACAGCUGAUUCCCCCCCUUACACACUCAAGUGUUGUAGCUUUUAUCACAUGCCUUUCAAAGAUAUUUUCCAUCUGCUAAAACAUAUCUGUUCCUCUUUGUUUUUGGCGGUUGGUGGGCAGCCUCUUUUUGGCCUUUUGUCAUUCUAGUUUAGUAUAGAGUGGCUUUACCUAGAUAUACUUGAUGUCUUAGUCUAUCUGUGCUCUCUUUAAAGUCUUUUGGGAAUCUCACAUAACUGCCUCCUUGUGUAGGAUCACGUGAGUUCUAGAUUCUGUGUUUCCU